UACAGAGGUCUCAAGCGUUGUUCGGAUUCAUUGGGCGUAAAGGGUGCGUAGGUGGCAGGGUAAGUCGGAUGUGAAAUCCCGGGGCUCAACCUCGGAACUGCAUUCGAUACUGCUUUGCUAGAGUACUGGAGAGGAGAUUGGAAUUUACGGUGUAGCAGUGAAAUGCGUAGAUAUCGUAAGGAAGACCAGUGGCGAAGGCGGAUCUCUGGACAGUUACUGACACUGAGGCACGAAGGCCAGGGGAGCAAACGGG
rnacentral:rRNA from 1 species